UCAUGAACAACGCAAAACUCACAUUCUACUCAAAAAGCGUUCCUACGAAGACUCGUCUGAUGAAGUACGGAAAUCGUAUAGAGAAUGGAGACCAAGUGCCAACUGGCAAAGGUGUCGAUCUUGGGUGCAGUGCCUGCUUGACCUCUGGUCAUGUAGUGGGGAUUGCAAUGAUUGAUUCUACAU
rfam:Penicillium italicum strain PHI-1 contig92, whole genome shotgun sequence.